CUCGCCCGCCCCACCGCCCCGCCCCGCCCCGCUCGUCCCGCUCGCCAUGGCCGUGGCCGAUGACCGCGGCCCACCGUCCCGCCCUGUCCGCCGCAGCGGCCAUGGACGGUCCUUGCUGCGCCGCAUCCCCUGCCGGUCCUCCUUCUCCUGCGUCGCCCGGAGGGAUGCGGCCGCUGCUUGCGUUGUUGCUGCCCCUGUGAGCUCGCGCAUGUGCUCCGCCCCAUAGGCGUCGCCAUCGACUGCAGAAGGUCCAUGCCGGCCCCAAACUCGAGGACCACCGUUUGGGUGGCCCGUGGUUUAGCGACCGCCGUCACGCCGGACCACCCCCGGCCCUGGCCUAGGGUUUGGUGGGCGAGCUCAGUGCCGUCUUCCAGUGGUGGACGAGGAGAUCCGGCACGAACCACACACAGGGAGGAGCUCAACCUCUGCUGCCUCUGCGUGCCCCCAGUUUCUUAAUUUCUAUAUUUGAAGAUGGCCUCAGUUGGUCGGAACGCAAAUAUCAAGAUAUGCUGAUUAGUUUUUGAGAUGUUCCAUCAGGAAUAAAGAUGGCAACUUUUGGGGGCAAGGUUAUUUUAAAGUCUGAUGAUUGCUAUGUCGUGCAAGAGGGUGUUGAGCUGAUAGGUAAUUGCAGGAGUCGAUGAUAUGUAUAUUCCAGCACCUUUACUCAAGGGUCCAACAAAGGCAGCAUUGACCUCUCCUUAUCUACAGCCUAGUGAUGGCCACCACCAGUUUUGAAGCUGGUUGAGGUCCUUCGUACUCUUUGAGAGGUGGCACACAUACUAUAGAAGCGCUCCUGGACUGAGAAGCAUCUUGGUCCCAAAGGGCGAGUCAAUUGAUUACAGAGGUGUUCUUCAUCAUGAUGGCUCUGUUUUGAUGCCAGUUUCCUUGGAUCAAUUGGAGGUAACAUGUAUUUUUCUUACCCUUUUUUGUGGCUUGUAUUGAUAUUUUCCUUGUGUGACCCCACCAAAAGAUAUCUCGAUGCAACUAUUUUCUAAUCUAAACAUGGAUGACUUUCAGCAAUCUCUUAGUUUUCAUGCAUUUAGCAAGAAUGCUACUUUGUUACUUGGGUUUUAUAUUUUCCUUGCGUGACCCCACCAAAAGAUAUCUCGUUGCAGCUAUUUUCUAAUCUAAACAUGGAUGACUUUCAGCAAUCUCUUAGUUUUCAUGCAUUUAGCAAGAAUGCUACUUUGUUACUUGGGUUGAUAAAAUAGCUACAGCACAUUGAGGCAAAAGGCAAAUGUACAUGCUCCUUAUUACUUAUCAGAAAACUUUUCCAGGGAGUUUUUUUGAUGUUUCUCAUAUGAAAUUGGAUUCAUACUAAUGCUGUUGUUACAUCCCAAAUGAAAGGGUCCAUGCUAUAGAAAUAAAUUGCUUUAAUUCACAUUCUUUAGAAGUAUAUGCAAUCGUGGACUAGAUGCAAAAUUUCUGUUGUAUGUCAUCCUUUAACUGACUACGAAUCAGCGUUUUAUUGUACAAAUGCUUCCUGGUAUGGGACCUGGAUAAGAAGUAUUUGGCCUGGACAUUUGAAUUUAUUCGGACAUUUUAUCUUACUAUAUGGUGAACUGGGAUCAACAUAUGUGGACAUGCAAAAAUACAUGCGCUAAGACUCAUAUAACUAUUCAUAACAUGAGUUAGGAACAAGUGCAGAUCUGUAAUUUUCAGCAAGCGAGAGAGGAUUACAUUUAGUUGUUUCAGUUUUAAACUACACUUGAGCCACUAUUCCUGAUAGUUCCAAACUAAUGUUUUGUUUGGCUUGCUGCUUGCAUGAAUUGAACCAUGCUUCCAGUUUUAAACUACACGUGAGCCACGGUUAAUGAUAAUUCCAAACUGAUGUUUUGUCUGCCUUGCAUGAAUUGAACCAUGCUACUCUGAAAUGUUGGUCUAGCGGAUUCUUACGAAUGGGCAAACUUAGGAAUACAUUGAAUUUCUAGAUGUUUUUAGCCUACUCUUUUCAUUGCUUUUCCAAUGUAGGUUGUUAGCAUGUUACACUUUUCAUGCAUAUGCUCUAUUGUUGCCUCUACCUCCUCUUUCUACAGGUUGCGAUACAAGUCACGGACCAGAAGACCAUAAGCAGGCAUUCGAUGCUUCUCGCUUUGCCUAAUCCAGCAGUAGGGCGUCACUGACAGGGUGGCGCACAACUCUGCUUUCACGGACUAUCCACGAGUCGGGGACGACUAAUUGAGCGUGCGGCUGGUUGAAGCAAACGACAAUCUGGCAGCAGAAGCUUGUGGUUGAGCCGAGCAUUGUAAGGAUCCAAGUAGAACGAUGCUCCAUCUCUUGUUAGAGCAGCCUGGGCUUCCCAAGGCCAUUUACCGUGUCAGAGGAUACUUGCAGAACACGAUAAGUAACCGUUCUUUUCAACACCACUGUCCAGAAUAGCGGGAGCUGUCCAACGCAAUUGUUGAUUACUUGUGUGUUGCUCUCCAAAUGAGGCAAUGGGGGAAGAUUCUGCCGCCUUUGAGGCAAUUAUGUACAUGGAGAACGCCACAAACAUUGUGGCAAAGGAACUGAAAAUACGAAUGGCUGAGCAAAUGUAAUGAGACCUUGGUUAUCUAAGGCUCGGACUCAAUUAGGCAUUUGACAUGAUAGACAACCUUGCUAAAGGUUAUUUAUAUGAUGUGAGAUACAUGUCCUCCUUUUCAGAUUAGAUUCAUAGUGUCAUGGCAGAUGCCUUUCCUCCUACUUGUGCGAUGGAUAAAUCAACAAAGUUGAUGGUUAUUAUAUUGAAUUGGUGGGGCAUAAUCAUGAGGACAGAACCUGCCACUAGCUACUGGGAUGUGUUGUGUGAGCUACUGUCGGAUUGUCCUUGCCUUCUAUAAGAGUGCCCUGCUCUAAGAAUUAUAUGACAUUCUUUAUGUUGACUACAUAUUAGUUGCACUGAUGCACUGCUAAAGCUUUAGCAGAACUAUAUAGGAUUCUUACCUUGGAAUGACUUUUGCUUUUGCUAUCUAAUAACCCAACUAUUGUUUUAUCUAUUUUAUGUGGAAACAUUGUCUUGGCUUA